rnacentral:rRNA from 1 species
AGAAGUCGUAACAAGGUUUCCGUAGGUGAACCUGUGGAAGGAUCAUUGUCGAGGCCUGAACGGACAAUCGCGAACCUGUCAAUGCUCCCGCAGGCACGGAGGGACGGCAGCAUUCGCGCACCUGACCCCAUCACCCCGGGGCACCCAUGGCCGCCCCCGUCCAACCUCAUUGCGGGAUGGGCAGCGGAAACAAUACCCGGCGCGGUAGGCGCCAAGGAACAUUCACAGUCGGGGAGAGCGCCGCAAGCCGGUUCUUUCAUGUGGUGCGAUCCCUUCCAUACAAGUCAAACUUUUACGACUCUCAGCAAUGGAUAUGUUGGCUCUCGCAUCGAUGAAGAACGUAGCAAAAAUGAAAUACUUGGUGUGAAUUGCAGAGUCCUAUGAACCAUCAAGUCUUUGAAUGCAAGUUGCACCCGAGGCUAUCUGGCCGAGGGCACGCCUGCCUGGGCAUCAUGCCUCGCAUCACUCCAUGCACCCUGAGCCACCCUUCGAGCAGGGGCGGUGGCGGGUGCAGAUGCAGAGCUUUGCCCCCAAUGCUGUGCGGCGUGAAGGGCCGAAGUAAAGGCCGCCGGCUAGGAAUGGAUGUAGCAAGUGGUGGACAGACACGUAUGGCUCCGGACGCUACCUCCACCCCCGACUGCAGUGCUACAUAAAAGGAACCCAUGCCAUUGGGUGCGCUCGUACGUGCCCCUCAGAACCCAACCCCAGGUCAAGCAGGGCCACCCGCUGAGCUUAAGCAUAUAAAUAAGCGGAGGA